AUAUUGCACAAUGGGCGGAAGCCUGAUGCAGCGACGCCGCGUGAGUGAAGAAGUAUCUCGGUAUGUAAAGCUCUAUCAGCAGGGAAGAAAAUGACGGUACCUGACUAAGAAGCCCCGGCUAACUACGUGCCAGCAGCCGCGGUAAUACGUAGGGGGCAAGCGUUAUCCGGAUUUACUGGGUGUAAAGGGAGCGUAGACGGCGACGCAAGUCUGGAGUGAAAGCCCGCGGCCCAACCGCGGGACUGCCCUGGAAACUGUGCGGCUGGAGUGCCGGAGAGGUAAGCGGAAUUCCUAGUGUAGCGGUGAAAUGCGUAGAUAUUAGGAGGAACACCAGUGGCGAAGGCGGCUUACUGGACGGUAGCUGACGUUGAGGCUCGAAAGCGUGGGGAGCAAACAG
rnacentral:rRNA from 1 species